GGCAAAAGCUCAAAUUUGAAAUCUGGCACCUUCGGUGUCCGAGUUGUAAUUUGAAGAAGGUAACUUUGGAGUUGGCUCUUGUCUAUGUUCCUUGGAACAGGACGUCACAGAGGGUGAGAAUCCCGUGCGAUGAGAUGCCCAAUUCUAUGUAAAGUGCUUUCGAAGAGUCGAGUUGUUUGGGAAUGCAGCUCUAAGUGGGUGGUAAAUUCCAUCUAAAGCUAAAUAUUGGCGAGAGACCGAUAGCGAACAAGUACAGUGAUGGAAAGAUGAAAAGAACUUUGAAAAGAGAGUGAAAAAGUACGUGAAAUUGUUGAAAGGGAAGGGCUUGAGAUCAGACUUGGUAUUUUGCGAUCCUUUCCUUCUUGGUUGGGUUCCUCGCAGCUUACUGGGCCAGCAUCGGUUUGGAUGGUAGGAUAAUGACUAAGGAAUGUGGCUCUACUUCGGUGGAGUGUUAUAGCCUUGGUUGAUACUGCCUGUCUAGACCGAGGACUGCGUCUUUUGACUAGGAUGUUGGCAUAAUGAUCUUAAGCCACCCGUCUUGAA
rnacentral:rRNA from 1 species